rnacentral:rRNA from 1 species
ACUCUUGGCAAUGGAUAUCUUGGCUCUUGUAUGAUGAAGAAUGUAGCAAAAUGUUAUACUUGCUGUGAAUUACAGAAUCCCAUGAACCAUCAAAUCUUGGAAUGUAAGUUACACCCUAAUUAGGUGAUGCACACUUGUUGUCCAUUCAGACCCCAUCAGACCCCUCACAUCACUCGAUCAAUGCUCAUAUCGUAACCCUAUGUUAGGUGGGAUUACCCACUAAGUUUAAGCAUAUCAAUAAGUAGACGAAAAAAAACUUACUAGGAUUUCUUUAGUAAUAGCAAGCAAAUCAGGAUAAGCCCAGCUUAAGAAUCGAGCACCCCUAACAUCAAAAUUGUAGUCUAAAAAAAAUCCCUAGUGGUGGACUAGGCCCAAGUCCCCUGAAAAAGGGCAUCGAAGAGGGUGAGAGCCUCAUUGUGCCUAGACCCUGUCACACUAUAAGGCAUUGUCUGUGAGUUAGGUUGUUUGAAAAUAUAGCCCUAAUCGGCUGGUAAAUUCUAUCUAAUGUUAAAUACCGGUGAGAGACCAAUAGCAAACAAGUACAAUAAGGGAAUGAUGAAAAUGACUUUGAAAAGAGAGUCAAAGAAUGCUCAAAAUUGUCAAGAAAGAAGUAAAUGGGAACCCAUGAUGCACCCCAAUUGGAUGUGAAAUGGUAAGAACUAGUCUAUCGAUCAGCUUAGGGCAUGGACCAAUGUUGGUCGUAACGGUGGCCUAAGCCCAAGCUUUUGAUAUGCCUACAGAGACAUCAUUGCCAUAAUCAUGGAAUGUAGCACAUGCCAUCUCAACAUGCCUCAACAUCUGUAUGUUCCCAACGUUGGCUUGCGGGCUCCCCAUCCAACCUAUCUUGAAACAAAGACUAAGGAAUCUGACAUAUAUGCAAGUCAACAGCUAGGAAACCUUUAAGGUGCAAGGAAACUAAUUGGCAUGAUCCCUUGUGGGUGCACCACUAACUGACCUUGAUCUUCUGAGAAGGGUUCGAGUAAAAGCAUGCCUAUUGGGACCUGAAAGAUAAUGAACUAUGCCUGAGUAGGGCAAAGCCAGAGGAAACUCUGGUGGAGGCCCACAAAAAUACUAACAUGCAAAUCAUUCAUUUGACUUGGGUAUAGGGGUGAAAGACUAAUCAAACCAUCUAGUAGUUGAUUCCUUCCAAAGUUUGCCUUAAGAUAGCCAGAGCCCUUAGCAAGUUCUAUCAAGGGAGUAACACCCUCACCCUAUUCUUAAACUUUAAAUAGGUAGGAUGGUGUGGCUAUUUCGUUGAACCUUGUCAGGGAAUUGAGAGCUCCAAGUGGGCCAUUUUUAGUAAGCAGAACUAGUGAUGUAGGAUGAACUAGAAGGUAGGUUACGGUGCCAAACUAUACACUAACCUAGACCUCACAAAAGGUGCUAGUUGAUUAAGAUAGUAGAAUAGUAGUCAUGAAAGUUGAAAUUUGUGAAAGAGUGUGUAACAACUUACCUGAUGAAUCAAGUAGCCCCAAAAAUGAAUGGUGCAUAAGCACUCGACCCAUACUCAGUGGUUAAGGCAAGGGCCAGGCCUCGAUGAUUAGAAGGGUGUGAUGGCUUUCGUAAAACCUGAGGCAUGAGCCCAGGCAAAAAAACUAUCAGUACAGAUCUUGGUGGUAAUAGCAAAUAUUCAAAUAAGAACUUUAAAGGCUAAUGAGGGGAAAAAUUCCAUAUGAAUGGCACUUACACAUGGGUUAGUCAAUCCUAAACCUGAGGCAUAAGCCCAAGCAGAGCGAUUGUUAGUGCAGAUCUUGGUGGUAAUAGCAAAUAUUCAAAUAAGAACUUUGAAGGCUAAAGAGGGGAAAUAUUCCAUGUGAACGGCACUUACACAUGGGUUAGUUGAUCCUAAGAGACAUGGAAAGCCCAUCUGAUAGUGCAUCGAACAUGAUUUUCAAAAGAGAAUCAAGUUAAAAUUCUUGAACUAGGAUGUCAUCGGUAAUAGCAAUGUUAAUGAGUCUAGAGAUGGCGAUAAGGGCCUCAGAAAGAGUUAUGUUUUCUAUUUAACGGCCAGUCCACCUCGGAAAUGGCUCAACCAAAGGUAGGGUCUAGCAACUAGAAGUGCAUCGCAUGUCACAUGGUGUUCGGUGUAACCCUAGUGGCCUUUGAAAAUCUGGAGGAUUGAGUGCCAUCUACACCCAAUCGUAGUCAUAAUCGUAUCACGUCUCUAAAGUGAAUAGCCUUUGGUCGAUGGAACAAUGUAAGCAAGUUAAGUCAGCAAAAUAGAUCCAUAACAUUAGGGAAAAUAUUCACUUUGAAGGUUUAGAAUAUUAUGAGAUAGGUUAGUUUUAUCCUAUUGAUGGUAGCAUCACAACAAUAAUUCAACCUAGUACAAGAGCAAUUGUUGAUUUGCACAAUUAGUCAUUGUGCUUGGUUGAAAAGCCAGUGGUGCAAAGCUACCAUGCGUUGGAUUAUGAUCAAAUGCCUCUAAGUUAGAAUCCAAACUAGAAGUGACACACACACCCGUCGCCUAAUUGCUGACCUACAGUAAGGGCCUAUGGCUUUCAAGAACAUGUGUCAUAGGUGUAACCCCUGUGGCGAACAAGCCAUACAGGCUUCCUUGGAGCUUCAUUCCCACUGAGCAGUGACCUUGCAAUUGACUUAAAUAUAUGAAGGGGUAUUAUAAGUGGAAAGUGGUCUUGCUACCAUGAUCCACUGAGAUUCAGCCCUUUGUCACUUUGAUUCAUCCAUUCCCCUUACACCCAUUGAAGCCUUUUCAUUUUAUUUUUUUUACACUGUACCUUUAGUGUUGGGGAUGAAUGGCGUUCCCUAUUGCAAUCGAUUUAGUUGGGUGAUGACAGCCCUCCCUCUGGUGUCCAAGUAAAUGGCAAUCAAAUGCCCUAGGCAUUUGUUAUAGGGAUAGGCUCACCCCUGGUGUAGGCACUUAGCUCAAUCUCUAUCGACACAUGUUGACCCUCAGUGUGAGUUGCUACCUCAAAUGCCAUCGACCGUAUCUAAUCCUUAGUUGCUAUACAAGAAAUCACAUCCAACACAGUCGGUAAAUGCCAACUCAUUCUAACCUUGGAUAUCGUCAACUAAUGCUGAACCUUUCAUUUGGGAUGUUGCUUUAGACACCAUCACCAGAUGCUAGCAAUGUUUGAACGAGCACUAGCCUCAACCACUAUCAAUACAAAUAGGCCAUUGGUGUGGGUUGU